rnacentral:tRNA from 1 species
GCCGCCAUGGUGAAGUUGGUAGACACGCUGCUCUUAGGAAGCAGUGCUCAAGCAUCUCGGUUCGAAUCCGAGUGGCGGCA